UUUAUAUAAUUUAUUUUUUUUUUGAUUGUUUGUAUAUUUAUUUAUUUAUUUUUAGUAUUUUAUUAAAAUAAUUUCUUUUUCUAACUGUUAAGGAUAUAAUAUUUAUAAUUCUGGAUUUAAUUAUAUGUACCUUUUGUAUCAGGGUUAAUUUAAUUUAUAAUUUAUAUUAUUUUCCCGAAUCAAAUUGAUCUUUUUUUAUGUUAAUUUCUUGUUUUAUAAAGUUUUAAAAUUUAAUUAAAGUAGUUAAAAGUUAAUCGUUUUUUGCUAUAUCUGGUUUAUUAAUAUUAAAUUCAAUUUUAAUUAUUUUUUAUAAUUUAUUUAAUGAGGGACUAUCUUCAUUUUAUUUUAAAAUUUUAUUUUUAUUGAUUUUCAUAUAAUUUGUAUUUUUUUGUUAGUCUUUAAUAAGUUAAAUCUUUUUAUUAAGAUUAUUUUUAAUUUAAUAUUAUAUUAAUUUUUUAUAUUUAAUUCUUAUUUAUAAUUAAUACUGAUUAAAUUAGUAUAAUUUUCAAUUAAAUUAGAAUGAACUCGGCAAUUUUAAUUUUCAAAUGUUUAACAAAAACAUUUCUUUUAGUAAUUUUUUAAAAGUAGUAUCUGCUCAAUGAGUAAUUUUAAAUAGCUGCAGUAUUUUGACUGUACAAAGGUAGCAUAAUAAUUAGUCUUUUAAUUGAAGUCUGGAAUGAAUGAUAAAAUGAGAAAUUUACUUUAUUUGGUUUAUUAUUAGAAUUUAAUUUUUAAGUGAAAAAGCUUAAUUGAUUUUUUGGGACGAUAAGACCCUAUAGAACUUUAUUAGUUGAUUUAAUUUUAUUUUUUUUUGGUUUAAAUUCAAUUAUUUCUUUAAUUAAUUUGGUUGGGGUGAUUGUUAAAUUUAACUUUAAUUUAUAUUUUCAUUAAUUUGUGAUUAGUUUGAUCCUUUAAUAAGAUUGUAAGAUUAAGUUACCUUAGGGAUAACAGCGUAAUUUUUAUGGUAAGUUCUUAUUUAUAUAAAAGUUUGCGACCUCGAUGUUGAAUUAAGAUAAUUCUAGGGGGUAGUUUUUUUAGUGUUAAGUCUGUUCGACUUUUAAAUUCUUACAUGAUUUGAGUUCAGACCGGCGUAAGCCAGGUCGGUUUCUAUCUUGAAGUAUAAAAAUUAUUUUAGUACGAAAGGACCAUUUAAUUCAAUUUUUAAUUGUUUUUUCUUAAU
rnacentral:rRNA from 1 species